rnacentral:rRNA from 1 species
GACGAACGCUGGCGGCGUGCUUCCUUUUUGCAAGUCGAACGAUGAAGUUACUUCGGUAAUGGAUUAGUGGCGAACGGGUGAGGAACACGUGAAGAAUCUGCCCCUCAUUUUGGGAUAACUUCGGGAAACCGAGGCUAAUACCGAAUAUUGAAACAUAAGUGGCAUCACUGAGUUUUGAAAGUUUUUCGAUGAGGGAUGACUUCGCGGCCUAUCAGCUAGUUGGUGAGGUAACGGCUCACCAAGGCAACGACGGGUAGCCGGCCUGAGAGGGCGAACGGCCACACUGGGACUGAGACACGGCCCAAACUCCUACGGGAGGCAGCAGUAGGGAAUAUUGCGCAAUGGAGGAAACUCUGACGCAGCGACGCCGCGUGCGGGAUGAAGGCCUUCGGGUUGUAAACCGCUUUCAGUAGGGAAGAAGCGAAAGUGACGGUACCUACAAAAGAAGCACCGGCUAACUAUGUG